UUCAUCUUGUCGGAGUGCCUAUUUUUCCAUGCGCAGGCUAACGUGGAAAAGGCUGAGACCGUUAAUUCGGGAUCCGCGGAACCUGAUCAGGCUAAUACCUGCGAAGGGAACAAGAGUAAACUGCUG
rnacentral:ncRNA from 2 species